CAGAGCCAGCCCUCAGAAGAAGGGAGGUGAGAACACAUCUAAGUAUCAGGGCUGGGCUCCACACCCAGCAGAGAACAGAAGUGGAUGCCUGGACCUGGGCAAGAAACAAGACAGCUGCAAGGGCCCGACUGACCCUCUGGAACACCCAGGGCUCUGGUCACACUGCACUGUCCCGGGGCAGCAGAAACUCUCCAGACCCAUCCAAUCAGCUGAAGGGAGUAAACUAAGAUUGGGGGUGCUGAAGGCAUGAAGAUGUCCCUCAUUUGAGAAAUGAUACCAGAGUCUCUAAGUGGCAAUGAUACCAGAGACUUUUGGCUCAUGAGAAGGUUGCCGUGUAGCCAGAACUAAGACGGUCCCAGCCAAGUGGAGACGGCAGGUUCAGAAGAAGCCAGUAAAGAUAUCUGGGAAGUGGAACAGACAUUUGAAGCAGGAGCAUGUUUUGAGAAGAUCAAACCCACUCAGCUGUGCUGAGGUGUCCCAAGGAAAGAUGACUUUCUCUGGGUCAGGACGGCAGAUGGGAGCUGCUGCAGUGCCCUGGGAACCAGGAAAUAGUGACCAGACCAGAGCAAUCAGGGAAUACGGGAGAAACAGAAGAAAAGUGAACGCUUUGGGGAAGCACUCAGGACCCUCCCAACUGUAGGGUGUUUUUCUUAAAAACUGUGCAUCUUUGUGUGGGUAUGAGUUUCAGGGAGGUGGUUUUUCCCUUUGUGGCUUCUUUUGAGAAUCUUCUGAAAUGGAUGAAUCUUUACCCCUCUCUCCCCAUCCCCCAAAUGUAGAGAUAAGCUCAAAACUUGGCACACAAUUUCAGGGACUUACAGAAUCUGUAUGAUCUCAGGGACCUCAGGUUAAGAACUCAUGCCUGGCACUUCCCAUACAUUUUUUUUCUUCUUUGAAUCCAUAACUUUAAACCCUGACACCACCAUUGUUUCUAAACAAAUAAGGAAUACCAGGUAGUUUUCCAUUUCCAGUGAGAACUAACUCACCUUUCAGACAAUGAAUGUUCAGAGCAGUGGUCCUCACAUCAGAUGUGCUGCUUAAGCUGUAAUUCCCAGGAGAGCUCACGAUAAACACCAGUGCGCAGGCCAGAGGCUGUGAUUCUAUUUGUUUGGGUGGAACACGAGCAUCUAUAUUUUUAAAGCCCCCAGGCAAUUCUAAAGUGCAUCCCAAGUUCAGAACCACUGCUCUAGGGUGAUUUUGCCUAAGCUGGGUCUGGGAUAAGCAGUAAUCACUACUCUGCCUUCCCCUGCCCCUCUCAGCAAGCCCUCUGUAUUGGAAGCAGAUGUGCACAACCCAGGGUAAAGUGAGAUGAAGAAAAUCUCUAUUUGUAUCCUUUUCCCUCAGGUACAAUCCUGUUUACGUCCUAAACACGAAACCUAAAAAAGUACUAAUAAAAAUAAAUUUUUAUUGAAGUGUAGUUGGUUUAUAAUAUUGUGUUAGUUUCAGGUAUACAGCAUAGUGAUUCAGUAUUUUUGCAGAUUAUAUUCCAUUAUAGGGUAUUACAAGAAAAUGGGUAUAAUCCCCUGUGCUAUACAGUGUAUCUCUGUUGCUUAUCUACUUUAUACGUAGUAGUUUGUAUCUCUUAAUUCCAUACUCCUAAAUUGUUGUUCCUCCCUUCUCCCUCCCCUUUGGUAACCACGUUUGUUUUCUAUGUCUGUGAGUCUGUUUCUGUUUCAUAUAGAUAUUCAGUGAUAUAAAAACCCAAGUUUAACAAACACCUGUCAAUAAGCCAUGGAUCUUCGACUCCACCCCCUCCACACCACGUACAAAAGUCUUUCACAGGCAGGGUGGGGACAUGCCUCUGACUUCUCUCAGAAUCACC